UGGGGAAUUUUGGACAAUGGGCGAAAGCCUGAUCCAGCAAUGCCGCGUGUGUGAAGAAGGCCUUCGGGUUGUAAAGCACUUUUUGUCCGGAAAGAAAUCCUUGGCUCUAAUACAGUCGGGGGAUGACGGUACCGGAAGAAUAAGCACCGGCUAACUACGUGCCAGCAGCCGCGGUAAUACGUAGGGUGCAAGCGUUAAUCGGAAUUACUGGGCGUAAAGCGUGCGCAGGCGGUUUGCUAAGACCGAUGUGAAAUCCCCGGGCUCAACCUGGGAACUGCAUUGGUGACUGGCAGGCUAGAGUAUGGCAGAGGGGGGUAGAAUUCCACGUGUAGCAGUGAAAUGCGUAGAGAUGUGGAGGAAUACCGAUGGCGAAGGCAGCCCCC
rnacentral:rRNA from 1 species